CUGCAAAUUUCUGUGCAUUCCAGAAGUGUCUCCGCAACAACAUUGUGGGAUGAAUAGUCCAGAAAUCCACUAAUAUCUUCAACUGCAAGUAGCCACAAUAAGGAAACGUGUCUUGUCUUCACUUUGCUACUGCGGCUAUCAUUUGAAUGGACAUUAUGAACUUCUAAUGAUUCAAAUAUUUAAAAUGUUCCGAGAAAUUCGUAUCAUCGAGAUUCCACUCUGCAUACUGUAUUUACUUGAUUGUAACAUGCACCUGAUUUUCAUAAUUUAAAAAAAAUUGCAAAAUGCACUACCUUUAACCCCUUAAGUGUUUUUGAUGAGCUCAGCUCAUCAACGGCAAUAGUCUCGUUUUCAAAGCAAUUUGGGUGAACUCGACACAUCCACUCGGUUUUUCUUCUACUACAUAGAUGGCUGCAGUACCAGCAUUGUAAACACGUGGUUAUUUAAGUCUUUUUUGUUUUACUGCAUAAAUGUCAGCACUUCUUCAGCGCUUUGAAGGCCACGCUGAUUCAGUCUUAGUGCCCUACGACAUAAUGGCAGCCAUUUCAUCAGCGCUGGAGGUGCAUGCUGAGUGCGUUCCUUGUUGUCUACUACAUAGAUGACAGCCACUUUGCCAGCACUCAAAGACUGCGUUUUUGGAAUUACGCGCAUCUUGCGCCUUUUGGCAGAUUUGGAAUGAUGGCAUCUGCCACUGUCAGCAUCUCCAGUGAGCCGUGCGUGCAAAACACCGCUGCUCGACUGUGACAGUGAAGGAGAGCUGCUGGGAAGCCAACCAUCGUAUUCGUAGACCCUGGUGGCCGUCGUGGCAGGUUCAGAGCAGUCACCUAACUACGUGUCAGCUCUGUAGAUGUUAGCGUCUGGAUCACACUAUGGCUAAAAUAUCACACAGCAACAACUUGUCAGAAAUAAAAAUAUCUGCCUGUACUGCAUCCACUCUAAAAA